AAUAGAUACCCUGGUAGUCCACGCCGUAAACGAUGAGUGCUAGGUGUUGGGGGCUUCCUGUCCUCAGUGCCGAAGGAAACCCAAUAAGCACUCCGCCUGGGGAGUACGGCCGCAAGGCUGAAACUCAAAGGAAUUGACGGGGGCCCGCACAAGCGGUGGAGCAUGUGGUUUAAUUCGAAGCAACGCGAAGAACCUUACCAAGGCUUGACAUCCCGCUGAUCCCUCUAGAGAUAGAGGUUCCCUUCGGGGCAGCGGUGACAGGUGGUGCAUGGUUGUCGUCAGCUCGUGUCGUGAGAUGUUGGGUUCAGUCCCGCAACGAGCGCAACCCUUAUCCUUAGUUGCCAGCAUUAAGUUGGGCUCUCUAAGGAGACAGCCGGUGAAAGCCGGAGGAAGGUGGGGAUGACGUCAAAUCAUCAUGCCCCUUACGUCUUGGGCUACACACGUGCUACAAUGGAUGGUACAAAGGGCAGCGAACCCGCGAGGGGGAGCGAAUCCCAGAAAGCCAUUCUCAGUUCGGAUUGUAGGCUGCAACUCG
rnacentral:rRNA from 1 species